rnacentral:sRNA from 1 species
AGACUUCCUCUCCUAAAUUACCUCGCUGCCGACAGGGAGGCUGGGCAGGUGAUUCCGUGAAGGCUUCGAACCGCAAAGAACCCGGAAUCAGUAUGGCAUGACCGGAGUCCUGGGCAACGUGGGUUCUUAACUGUCAGUCAGAUAUUCCUAUCAUUCCGGAUCUGGAGGAAGUACAGGAAGAAGACUUUGUUUUGCAGGUGGCAGCCCCUCCGAGGUAGGUUAAAUCAGAUAUGAUUGGGGAGGCAAAGAACACGUGAAUUAAUACACUCCAGAUAUCAUCUAUAGUGGACCUUGAUGUCAAUCUGGAUCUUUCUGGUGUUGGGCUCCAUCCAGGGUUCCCAUUUUGUUAUUCCCAUUCUGGUCAUCCCCAGCUGUAUACAAGGUUCUGGGGACGGUGGCCCGGCAGCACUCCUGGAACAGGUCCUGCCUGGGGUUCCCUCCUCUCGCUCUCUCUUUCCUUCAGCAUCCAGAU